UCUAAUUUUUUUCUCCGCCAUUUUUUCUCCACCAUUUUUUCUCCGCUGAAGAACUGAUAUCUAGGUUUUCUCUCGCGUCUUCUCUGUUACCAUCUCGCCUCUUCUCUCCAUAUACUCCAUCUCUUUUCUAUUAUCAUCUCGUCCAUCUCUUCUCUGUUGAGGGAGAGAGUUAUACGAAAAAUGUGAUGUUUUUACAGAUUAGAUUAAGGUUUGAAUGAGAAUCGAUGAUGGAUACAAAGAUCGUGAGUCUGAUUUAGAGAAAUGGAAUGGAAUCAGGGAUCGUUGAUGGUCAUGGUGUUGAUCCGUCUUUUGAUUCAAACUCAACAGAAAGAUAAAGAUGAUGAGAUAAUAGUGGUGGUUAGAAGAAAAGAUGAAGAAUAACUGAGCUAGUGGGAGUUUAGGUUUAAUUUGGUGAAGGGGUUGAAUUACAGGGGACUAUUGGUGGAGUCAAUAAGGAGCUGAAGACGAUAUGGUGGAGAUGAAGAUUCCAAAACUCAUGCUUAUAAAUGCUGAAUCCAGAAGGAUUAUUGAUGGGAUGGAAAGCGGUGUUUAUGAUAAUAUGAUGCAUUACAGAAGAAAUACCUAAGAACACUUUUGUUCUGCAUAUCUGAAGCUAUUGAAGGACCUAAUAGAAGAAUAUGCUUUUUCAUUUAGUUAUUCGAAUUCCAACAACGAAGAUGUUAUGAUGAACAUAAGUCAUACCGGGAACAAGAAACAAGGAGCAACGUUCAGAUCUUAUGGCAAUGCAGACAUUACACCAAAUAAAAUGAGAUAUAAUAGAGUUAUGCCUCCAUUCUUCAGAGGUUGCUCAGAAGAAGAAGCUAGCCAUCCAUGGUUGAAAACCCCUCUCAAAAUGGCAAUCGGAAAUGUUAACAGCAAACAUAUCGUACUGGAUCUCAAGGUCAAAAGUAUCCUGGUACGUACCAUAUCAAGAUGAAAACAAUGACAUCAAAGAUGAUGAAGCGAUCAGCUUGGGUGUUGAUUCAGUGCCAACAACUGAGCCUCCACAUCCAGAUAGCGAGUGUAUCAAUUUCAAUUUGGUGGAUGAGAUGGUGGAGUCUCAGAUGAAUGACGAGUUUUGGGUUCUCAACAAUACGAUUCAACUGAGUUUGUGGCUCUGAGAUCUGAAUUUGAGUAAUGGAUGAAACUACAGCUGUGGGUGUUGAUGAUUGAUAGUUCAGUGAACUAGGGUGGUGUUGAUAUCAGUUUGCAGUUGCAGAUGGAGUAGCAAGGUGGAAUGGCAGGUGCAGCUGGAGCUGAAACGAGUCAGAGAACUGAAUUUCUACAGAAGAAGGGCUCAGAUGGCAUCUCAUAGGAGGAUUGGUCUGUGGUUAUGUUGCAGAAUGUGCUGAGAAUGGUGGUAUUGAACUCAUGGAGAUGGAACUGAAGCUGGUGGUGCUGUGUGUUGGCUCAGGAAUGAAUCUAGAUGUAUGCCUAGGAUUUUACAGGUUAUGAAAUGAACUAGUUCUGAUGCUUGUUGUGUGUUGAGAACGGAGUAGCUGUGGUGAUUUUCAUGGAAGACCAAGUGUUUGUGCUUUGGAUGUACACAGGUGGUAUAUAUGACCGAGAUGGAGAGUGGGAGACGAAAUGAUGAAUGGCUUAUGAUUGUGUUGUCGUGGUAAAUAACAAGAUGAGGUGCAGUUGGGUUACAAGGAUUGAGUAAGGAUUGCAGUCAAGAGCUAAAUGGGUUUAUGUGGUCAAUUAGCUAGCAUAACAAGUAUGGAGUGCAGGACGGGUGUUGAAUUCUGCAAGCAAGAGAUGUUGUUGUUGAACUGAAUGUUAGGGUUGGCAGACUAAUGGAAGUUUGUGUGACUGCAGAAUGAACUUGAGUGGAAGCUUGUAUGUUGUUAAAGCUGCAGCUGAGCUGAAGCUAGAAUAGAAUUGCAGCAGUUGGUGUUUAACUGAUGCUGGUGGUGACUUGGUAAGAAGGCAUGAUGGAGUUGCAGGUGCAGUUGUGCAAAAGUUGGUUUGAGCAGAAGAAGGUAAUGGUGCUGUUACAGCUGUGAGCUGAUGUGGAAUGUGUCUUUGCAGUUGAAAAGUAACCCUUAUUAGAUAAAACUCUGCAGAUAACAUGUGUGCGUGCAUCCUUGGAUUCGUAUUGAUAAACUUCUGUCUGUUCUUCUUUUUCAUUAGAUUUCAAUGACAUGAUGCAAGUGUGAAUGAUGCAAGUUUUGAAUAGUAUAAGUUUUUGGUUCAGUGUGAAUGAUGCAAGUUUUGAAAAGCUUUUUAAUUUUUGUGUGAA